GCCGGACACGGUGGCACACGCCUGUAAUCCCAGCAGCAUGGGAGGCUGAGAUAGAAGAAUCGCGAGUUCUAAGCCAGCCUCAGCAAAAGCGAGGCGCUAAGCAACUCAGUGAGACCCUGUCUCUU
rnacentral:sRNA from 1 species